rnacentral:rRNA from 1 species
GACGAACGCUGGCGGCGUGCUUAACACAUGCAAGUCGAGCGGAAAGGCCACUUCGGUGGUACUCGAGCGGCGAACGGGUGAGUAACACGUGAGUAAUCUGCCCCUGGCUUUGGGAUAGCCACCGGAAACGGUGAUUAAUACCGGAUACGACCACUUCCCGCAUGGGAUGGUGGUGGAAAGUUUUUUCGGCCAGGGAUGUGCUCGCGGCCUAUCAGCUUGAUGGUGAGGUAAUGGCUCACCAUGGCUUCGACGGGUAGCCGGCCUGAGAGGGUGGCCGGUCACACUGGGACUGUGACACGGCCCAGACUCCUACGGGAGGCAGCAGUGGGGAAUAUUGGACAAUGGGCGGAAGCCUGAUCCAGCAACGCCGCGUGAGGGAUGACGGCCUUCGGGUUGUAAACCUCUUUCAGCAGGGACGAAGCGCAAGUGACGGUACCUGCAGAAGAAGCACCGGCCAACUACGUGCCAGCCGCCGCAGUAA